UCAAUUAUUUAUAGCCUCUGGCUAUAGGAAAUUGUUAGUGGCAGACGGGUGAGUAAUGCGUAGGAAUCUACCUAGUAGUACGGAAUAGCCAUUAGAAAUGGUGGGUAAUACUGUAUAAUCCCCGAGGGGGAAAGAUUUAUCGCUAUUAGAUGAGCCUACGUUAGAUUAGCUAGUUGGUGAGGUAAUGGCUUACCAAGGCUAUGAUCUAUAGCUGGUCUGAGAGGACGAUCAGCCACACUGGAACUGAGAUACGGUCCAGACUCCUACGGGAGGCAGCAGUGGGGAAUAUUGGACAAUGGGCGAAAGCCUGAUCCAGCUAUGCCGCGUGAGUGAAGAAGGCCUUCGGGUUGUAAAACUCUUUCAAUAGGGAAGAUAAUGACGGUACCUAUAGAAGAAGUCCCGGCAAACUCAAGCGGCAU
rnacentral:rRNA from 1 species